CCAAUAGCGUAUAUUAAAGUUGUUGCAGUUAAAAAGCUCGUAGUUGAAUUUCGGGAUCAAUAUGUCGGUCGUGCCUCGGUACGUACUGGCGUCAUUGGUUUCUCCCUUCUGAAGAACCGCGAUGUCAUUAAUUUGGUGUCGUGGGGAAUCAGGACUGUUACUUUGAAAAAAUUAGAGUGUUUAAAGCAGGCUCGCGCUUGAAUACAUUAGCAUGGAAUAAUGAAAUAGGACGUUUUGAUUCUAUUUUGUUGGUUUCUAGGAUCGACGUAAUGAUUAAUAGGGAGAGUUGGGGGCAUUAGUAUUCAAUUGUCAGAGGUGAAAUUCUUGGAUUUAUUGAAGACUAACUAAUGCGAAAGCAUUUGCCAAGGAUGUUUUCAUUAAUCAAGAACGAAAGUUAGGGGAUCGAAGACGAUCAGAUACCGUCGUAGUCUUAACCAUAAACUAUGCCGACUAGGGAUCGGAUGAUGUUAAUUUUUUAAUGACUCAUUCGGCGCCUUACG
rnacentral:rRNA from 1 species